GCUGAUUUCGGUUCAAAAUAUAUUCAGGCACCCUGCAGGCCUUUACAGUGUGUAUUGUUUACCGGCUCUAAAAAAUUUACAUAGCCUACCAUUCGAUAGAAAAUAGAGUGGAGAAAUACUUGCAAUUCGGCGCCAAUUAUUUUGAACAAGCAACAAUAAAAGCAAUUUGCAGCCUGAGAACGAGGGCCAACUGCAGCAUAUGCACAUCCACACCCAAACAUACACACACAUUAAAACACAAUUAGAAUAAAUUUUCGCACAACUGAGGCCCCGCACCGAAGCGAUCGCAAAGUCGAGUUGAUUACACGAAACGCGCCCACGCCUCCAGCUAAAGAAUGAAAACUAUAAAGUAAGGUCCCGGGGCGAACAUACGUUCCGGCUAGAUAAUACCAACCGAUACGAGGAAAACAAAUGAUACGAAAACUAGCCCUGGCAGUCUGGGAAAGGCAGCUGUAACAGUUUUUCAUGCGCAUUUUCACCAAUUUCCAAUAGGCAGACACGCAAUUUUGGACCGUGGCAACGCACGAAACCUGCACCGGGCUUUGCUCUGGCUCCGGUAAUGAGACGACGUCGCCACGGUAGGGUAAGAGCGAAUAUGUUGGCACUGUUUUGGCACACAUGGCAAUAUGGGUAUCGACAACAACUACAGAAAACGCUGGCAACUUGGAGGCCACAAAAAUCCUUUGCACAAAACACGCACAUCGCUGAUGGGCGCUCCCCUCCGCCGCCCGACCUCUUUCCGGGCCACGCGCCUUCACCAAGCCUCGUUAUCUAGCUGGCAGCCCAUAAUGGGCUACGCAUAUGAGAAAGUAGGAUGUGUGCCACAAUGCCAUAAGAGAAGGGGCACGCGAUGGCACGGUUCAGUAAGGCAACAAAAUAUAUUCAAUAAAUUCUGUCAAAGGCAUUAUGGAAAAUGCUUUCUCGUACGAGUGCGAAAGCAAGGCUUGUCAGUGCCAAUGCCAGAUCAGAUCAACAGCUCAUUUAUCGAUCGCAUAUUAGAUAGAGCUCGAUAGCAUACAUAAAAAUGUAGCAACAUCUAAGCCCGACCAGUAUCAGCCCAUAAUUCCCUGACACACGUAAUUAAUCUGCUUUUCUGUGCUGGCAUUCUGGUUUUCCCACUUUCCAAUUGGCGGUAAUGUGAGGCUUCUUCUUGGGGCAGAUAACCAUGUAAGUGACUUGUCAUCCAAAGUUUGGGUCAUUUUAUGGCCCUGUCUACAAGCUUGUUGGGCCCAUAAAAACAGAGAGUCAAGGCGACGCAUAGAUAAACAUGAAUGAAGCGACAUUCCGGCCUCAUCAGGCUUAACCUUUCCAGGCACGUACCACAAAAACACACUCACAUCUAUAUAUAUAAAAUCUAUGACUAAACUCAACCAAAGUUGAACGACAUUAAAACGCAGCGCAGGAAAA